rfam:Dipodomys ordii contig_1044, whole genome shotgun sequence.
GGGAAGUUGGCUCAGUGGUAGAGCACUUGCCUUACAUGUAUGAGGCCCUGGGUUCGAUUCCUCAGUACCA